CACGUAGGGUGCGAGCGUUGUCCGGAAUUAUUGGGCGUAAAGAGCUCGUAGGCGGUGUGUCGCGUCGGCCGUGAAAACCUGCAGCUUAACUGCGGGCUUGCGGUCGAUACGGGCAUCACUGGAGUUCGGCAGGGGAGACUGGAAUUCCUGGUGUAGCGGUGAAAUGCGCAGAUAUCCGGAGGAACACCGGUGGCGAAGGCGGGUCUCUGGGCCGAUACUGACGCUGAGGAGCGAAAGCGUGGGGAGCGAACAGG
rnacentral:rRNA from 1 species